rnacentral:rRNA from 1 species
CAGCCGCCACGGUAAUACGUAGGGUGCAAGCGUUAAUCGGAAUUACUGGGCGUAAAGCGUGCGCAGGCGGUUAUAUAAGUCAGAUGUGAAAUCCCCGGGCUCAACCUGGGAACUGCAUUUGAGACUGUAUGGCUAGAGUGUGUCAGAGGGGGGUAGAAUUCCACGUGUAGCAGUGAAAUGCGUAGAUAUGUGGAGGAAUACCGAUGGCGAAGGCAGCCCCCUGGGAUAACACUGACGCUCAUGCACGAAAGCGUGGGGAGCAAACAGGAUUAGAUACCCCGGUAGUCCCUGUCUCUUAUAC